rnacentral:rRNA from 1 species
GACGAACGCUGGCGGCGUGCUUAACACAUGCAAGUCGAACGGAAAGGCCCUGCUUUUGUGGGGUGCUCGAGUGGCGAACGGGUGAGUAACACGUGAGUAACCUGCCCUUGACUUUGGGAUAACUUCAGGAAACUGGGGCUAAUACCGGAUAGGAGCUCCUGCUGCAUGGUGGGGGUUGGAAAGUUUCGGCGGUUGGGGAUGGACUCGCGGCUUAUCAGCUUGUUGAUGGGGUAGUGGCUUACCAAGGCUUUGACGGGUAGCCGGCCUGAGAGGGUGACCGGCCACAUUGGGACUGAGAUACGGCCCAGACUCCUACGGGAGGCAGCAGUGGGGAAUAUUGCACAAUGGGCGGGAGCCUGAUGCAGCAACGCCGCGUGCGGGAUGACGGCCUUCGGGUUGUAAACCGCUUUCGCCUGUGACGAAGCGUGAGUGACGGUAAUGGGUAAAGAAGCACCGGCUAACUACGUG